AUUGAACGCUGGCGGCAGGCCUAACACAUGCAAGUCGAGCGGAUGAAGGGAGCUUGCUCCUGGAUUCAGCGGCGGACGGGUGAGUACUGCCUAGGAAUCUGCCUGGUAGUGGGGGAUAACGUCCGGAAACGGGCGCUAAUACCGCAUACGUCCUGAGGGAGCAAGUGUGGGAUCUUCGGACCUCACGCUAUCAGAUGAGCCUAGGUCGGAUUAGCUAGUUGGUGGGGUAAAGGCCUACCAAGGCGACGAUCCGUAACUGGUCUGAGAGGAUGAUCAGUCACACUGGAACUGAGACACGGUCCAGACUCCUACGGGAGGCAGCAGUGGGGAAUAUUGGACAAUGGGCGAAAGCCUGAUCCAGCCAUGCCGCGUGUGUGAAGAAGGUCUUCGGAUUGUAAAGCACUUUAAGUUGGGAGGAAGGGCAGUAAGUUAAUACCUUGCUGUUUUGACGUUACCAACAGAAUAAGCACCGGCUAACUUCGUG
rnacentral:rRNA from 1 species